AGGGAGCCCUAAUGUAACUAUGGACUUCGGGUGACUGGCCAAGAGUAAGCCCUAAUGUAACUAUGGACUUUGGGUGACUAUGACCCAAAUGUCAAUGUAGCUUCAUUAACAGUUAAUAAACAUUUCACUGUGGUGUGGGAUGGUGACUGUAGUGGGGGUGGCGGUGUGUGUGCAUGGGUAUGGGCUGGGGUAUAUGGGAACUCACUGUACUUUCUGUAAUUUUGCUGUGAACUUAAAACUGCCCUAAAAAUUGUCUAUUUUUAAAAAACAAUAAUUAUAAACUGGAAAAAUUCUCUUAGGAAAUCCUAAAAUAUGGAAGAUAAAAUAUGAAAUGUUUUCUCAGUAUUAAAUGUUUAUAACAACCACUUUCUAACCCUCAGAGAGCAACACAGCAAAUACUUAUUAACAGUGCCAUAAAGAAAUAAAAGCUAGUCAACCAAAACUUCCCAUUAAAUAGGAACUGUAAACUUUAUAUACAGAUAAAACAACCACAUUUUCACAAACUGAAACUUGAAAAAUUAAGUAAAUUGGUCAUUCACUAAAUUGGCUGCUUGGCAAACUAAUUUUCAAAGAAUUAGCAUGUUCUUGGUUGGAAAAGAAAAAGAAUAAGCAAAGUCAGAAAGUAACAAAAAAGAUCUCUAAAGCUGGGUGUUGCCCAAAAGCAGCCGAUGGAGCCAACCAGAGGCUGGAACAUUACAGACCCGCUUUCCCCACCACCCAAGCUGGUGUAUGCCAUGCUCCCACAGCAGAAGCUAAAAAAGUACACUUACUAUUUCUAUUAACGAAUAGACUAUCUCCUUCUAAACUGUAUAACAUUAUAUGAAAUUGGAAGCUAAAAUGUUUGUAGUAAUUGUUUCUACUAUGUUCUUCUUCUGCCUUCAUUGUUAAGUUUUAUGUUUCAUUAAUACCUUUUUAGAGUCAAAAAAUUUUCAAAAUUUCAAUUAAAAAAAUUUCUAAAUACCA
ensembl:lncRNA novel transcript, antisense to PAXIP1